rnacentral:lncRNA from 1 species
CUCACCCCGAUGGCGUAGCGGAUGACCCCGGCGCGCUCCGCCUCGGGGAGGACGUGGCGGUACUCCAGCGGGUCGCCGUACUUCCGGCCGUCCGUCACCACGAUCAGGAUCCUGCUGGCCCCCGCCCGGCUCCCCCGCCCGGGCCCGAACACCUCCGUCCUACCAGGGCGACCGUCGUCACCCUCGGGUGCCGCCACAUCGCCCUCGGGGUGCCGCCACGUAUCCCUUGGGUCCCACUACGUCACCCUUGGGUGCCACCACAUCACCCUGGGGUCCCACCACAUCAUGAUGGGGUCCCACCACGUCACCCCGGGGUCCCACCACGUCACCCUUGGGGCCACCACAUCACGAUGGGGUCCCACCACGUCACCCUCGGGUCCCACCACAUCACCCUGGGGUCCCACCACAUCACCCUUUGGGCCAUCACAUCAUGAUGGGGUCCCACCACGUCACCCUGGGGUCUCACCACGUCACCCUGGGAUGCCACCAUGUCACCCUGGGGUCCCACCACGUCAUGAUGGGGUCCCACCCCGUCACCCUUGGGUGCCACCCCGUCACCCUUGGGGUCCCACCACGUCAUGAUGGGGUCCCACCACGUGUUCCUUAGGGCAACUACGUCACCCCGGGGUCCCACCACGUCACCCUUGGGGCCACCACGUCACGAUGGGGUCCCACCACGUCACCCUUGGGGCCACCCCGUCACCCUUGGGUGCCACCCCGUCACCCUGGGGUCCCACCACGUCACCCCGGGGUCCCACCACGUCAUGAUGCCGUCCCACCACGUCACCCCGGGCUCCCGCCAUGUGCCCCUCGGGUGCCACCCCGUCACCCCGGGGUGCCACCCCGUCGCCCCGGGGUGCCGCCGCGGGGACCCACAGCACGGUGCGGAUGGCGCUGGCCGUCUGCGUGGUCCCUUUGCUCUGCCGCACGCCGCGGACCUCGGCCUCGCGCCCGGCCGGCGUCAGGCGCUCGAAGGCGGCGAAGUCGAAGUGGAGCCGGGAGUCGGUGGAGAACUGCACCAGGGCGAACUUCGGGGCGGGGGGGG